rnacentral:rRNA from 1 species
UACGUAGGGUGCAAGCGUUAAUCGGAAUUACUGGGCGUAAAGCGUGCGCAGGCGGUCUGUUAAGACCGAUGUGAAAUCCCCGGGCUUAACCUGGGAACUGCAUUGGUGACUGGCAGGCUUUGAGUGUGGCAGAGGGAGGUAGAAUUCCACGUGUAGCAGUGAAAUGCGUAGAGAUGUGGAGGAAUACCGAUGGCGAAGGCGCCUCCUGGGCCAACACUGACGCUCAUGCACGAAAGCGUGGGGAGCAAACAGG